rnacentral:rRNA from 1 species
CCAAUAGCGUAUAUUAAGGUUGUUGCAGUUAAAAAGCUCGUAGUUGAACUUCGGGGUUUACCCAUUGGUCAGGCUUAAUUGUCUGUACUGGUGAGAUGAGUCUCUACCUUCUGAGGAACUUUCAUGCCAUUUAUUUGGUGUGAUUGGAAAUCAGGACUGUUACUUUGAAAAAAUUAGAGUGUUUAAAGCAGGCUAACGUCUGAAUACAUUAGCAUGGAAUAAUGAAAUAGGACGGAUUGAUUCUAUUUCGUUGGUUUCUAGGAUCACCGUAAUGAUUAAUAGGGAUAGUUGGGGGCAUUAGUAUUCAAUUGUCAGAGGUGAAAUUCUUGGAUUUAUUGAAGACUAACUACUGCGGAAGCAUUUGCCAAGGAUGUUUUCAUUAAUCAAGAACGAAAGUUAGGGGAUCGAAGACGAUCAGAUACCGUCGUAGUCUUAACCAUAAACUAUGCCGACUAGGGAUCGGACGAAGUUAAUUUUAUAAUGACGCGUUCGGCACCUUACG